CAAAAAAACAUUUCUGAGCAGAGUUCAGUUGAUAGUGAUGCUUUGUCAACAAUAUAUAGGUCAUUUUAUAGUAAAAUAAUUAAUAGGCUUUAUAUAUUUUUUAUUUAAUAAUAUUUGUUUAAUGUUGUAUCAAUUUUCCUACGUUUUUCCUGGUUUUUCACAUUUAAUGAGAAAACUCCUGAGAAAAUCAAAAAAUGACCUCUCUAUAGUACCUAACUAGUGAAAUUUCCUUUA